rnacentral:rRNA from 1 species
GUGCAGCAGUCGCGAAAAUUUUGCAAUGCGCGCAAGCGUGACAAAGUCAUCCCGAGUGCCACCCGCUGAGGAUGGCUUUUCUCCGGUGUAGUAAGCCGGAGGAAUAAGGAGAGGGCAAGUCUGGUGUCAGCCGCCGCGGUAAUACCAGCUCUCCGAGUGGUAGGGACGAUUAUUGGGCCUAAAGCGUCCGUAGCCGGCCAAGCAAGUUUCCCGUUAAAUCCAGCGAUCCAAUCGUUGGACUGCGGGAAAUACUGUUUGGCUAGGGGGCGAGAGAGGCCAACGGUAUUCCCGGGGUAGGGGUGAAAUCCCAUAAUCCCGGGAGGACCACCAGUGGCGAAGGCUGUUGGCUAGAACGCGCUCGACGGUGAGGGACGAAAGCUGGGGGAGCGAACCGGAUUAGAUACCCGUGUAGUCC